rnacentral:rRNA from 1 species
CGGGUGAGUAACACGUGGGCAACCUGCCCAAAAGAGGGGGAUAACACUUGGAAACAGGUNCUAAUACCGCAUAACCAUAGUUACCGCAUGGUAGCUAUGUAAAAGGUGGCUAUGCUACCGCUUUUGGAUGGGCCCGCGGCGCAUUAGCUAGUUGGUGGGGUAAAGGCUUACCAAGGCAAUGAUGCGUAGCCGAACUGAGAGGUUGAUCGGCCACAUUGGGACUGAGACACGGCCCAGACUCCUACGGGAGGCAGCAG